AGAGUUUGAUCCUGGCUCAGGAUGAACGCUAGCGACAGGCUUAACACAUGCAAGUCGAGGGGCAGCGGGGAGGUAGCAAUACUUCCGCCGGCGACCGGCGCACGGGUGAGUAACACGUAUGGAACCUGCCCGUAGCAGGGGGAUAAACGGAAGAAAUUCCGUCUAAUACCGCGUAAUAACUCCGAGAGGCAUCUCAUGGAGUUUAAAGGGUAACACCGGCUACGGAUGGCCAUGCGGCGCAUUAGCUAGUUGGCGGGGUAACGGCCCACCAAGGCGACGAUGCGUAGGGGUUCUGAGAGGAAGGUCCCCCACACUGGUACUGAGACACGGACCAGACUCCUACGGGAGGCAGCAGUGAGGAAUAUUGGUCAAUGGCCGGAAGGCUGAACCAGCCAAGUCGCGUGAGGGAAUAAGGCCCUACGGGUCGUAAACCUCUUUUGCCAGGGAGCAAUGCCGUCCACGUGUGGACGGAAGGAGAGUACCUGGAGAAAAAGCAUCGGCUAACUCCGUGCCAGCAGCCGCGGUAAUACGGAGGAUGCGAGCGUUAUCCGGAUUCAUUGGGUUUAAAGGGUGCGCAGGCGGCCUGUUAAGUCAGCGGUAAAAGCCCGGGGCUCAACCCCGGCGAGCCGUUGAAACUGGCGGGCUGGAGUUGGAGAGAAGUACGCGGAAUGCGCGGUGUAGCGGUGAAAUGCUUAGAUAUCGCGCAGAACCCCGAUUGCGAAGGCAGCGUACCGGCUCCACACUGACGCUGAGGCACGAAAGCGUGGGUAUCGAACAGGAUUAGAUACCCUGGUAGUCCACGCAGUAAACGAUGAAUGCUUGCUGUCCGGGCAGUGAUAUGCCUGGGGGGCGAAGCGAAAGCGAUAAGCAUUCCACCUGGGGAGUACGCCGGCAACGGUGAAACUCAAAGGAAUUGACGGGGGCCCGCACAAGCGGAGGAACAUGUGGUUUAAUUCGAUGAUACGCGAGGAACCUUACCCGGGCUUAAAUUGCACCUGAAUAAUGUGGAAACAUGUUAGCCGUAAGGCAGGUGUGAAGGUGCUGCAUGGUUGUCGUCAGCUCGUGCCGUGAGGUGUCGGCUUAAGUGCCAUAACGAGCGCAACCCUUAUCUUCAGUUACUAACAGGUCAUGCUGAGGACUCUGGAGAGACUGCCGUCGUAAGAUGUGAGGAAGGUGGGGAUGACGUCAAAUCAGCACGGCCCUUACGUCCGGGGCUACACACGUGUUACAAUGGGAGGUACAGAAGGCCGCUACCUGGCGACAGGAUGCCAAUCCCCAAAACCUCUCUCAGUUCGGAUCGAAGUCUGCAACCCGACUUCGUGAAGCUGGAUUCGCUAGUAAUCGCGCAUCAGCCAUGGCGCGGUGAAUACGUUCCCGGGCCUUGCACACACCGCCCGUCAAG
rnacentral:rRNA from 1 species